UCAUAUUAUUUCAACGAGAUUUUUUUUUAAGUUCAUUACUAUUAAUUUUUAUCAAUCAAAGGUCUUGAGCCCAAUACUAAAAUACAUGAGAAAGGUUCUUACUAGUUUUUUUUUUAUUAUUAUUUAUAUUUGUUUAUUUAUUUAUUUGUUUUGAUGGACCUCAAGCCCAAAUCUAUAUUUAUGAGAAUAAUUUUUAUGGGCUUCCAACCCAAGAAUUUUGAGAUCAGUAGUGACCCAAAAUUAAGAUGGCAGUGUGAGAAGCUGAGUCGAGAGAAUUGAAACAUUUUCCUUUUUCUCCAAGAAUUCUACAGUGUUGAUAUUUUUUCUUUGGCAAAGAAUCAGCUUUGGUUUUCCUUCAGCCACGUAAACCAUAUUGUGCCUUAAAUCAUAUUUGCCUCACACAUUCCUUCUCACCAUUCUCUCCACUUCUUGCAAUAAUCUAUCUUUACUUCUGAAUUUUUUUUUAUCCUCCGGUGAGUGAGAAUCGGGGAAUCGAGGAGAGGGAGGAACGAGGGCUGUCCGAGCUCGACGCGGGCUGUCAAGACCGCGGCUGUCGGCGCUGCUUGCGUGGCAGCAGCCCGUCGGCCACUCGCGGCGAAGGCAGACAGAGUCGGAGCAAGGCGGCGAAGUCCCGGGUGGCUGAACGAGGUGGCGCGGCCGGAGGCCAGGCGCCACUAACGCGGCCGAGAACGGAGCAGCAGCAGCAGUGAUGGCGGCGCUCCUUCCUUGGCCAUCUGCUGUCGGGUACGCAAGAAAGAGAGAGAGGGGCAGAUGGGAGGUGGUGAGCGAGAGGGUAUGGUGAGAGAGGGAAGGCGUUGGGUGAGGGAGGCGUCGGAGCCGGCGAUUCUCGCCGGGGUUGGAGCAGGCGGCGGAUCUGUGGAGGGAGAAGAGGCGUGAGAUGGAAAGAGAGAGAGAGAGAGGGUGAUGGCAGAGGCGGAUUCCGGUGGUGUUUUCCCUGGGCGGCGGCGGCAGUACUGGAAGGGGAGGCGGCUCGGCGCACCUCUGUCGAUACAGGGACGGCGGGGUGGCGUUGCGGCCUGGCAGCUGCUGUCUGUCGAAGCCAGUGAGGGCUGAGAAGAGAGGGAAGUCGGGGGGGGAAGAUAAGAGGAAAGGCGACGGUGGCCGGCUCUUCGCCGCUGCUACCGUCGACUGUGGAGUCGAGAGAAAUGGGGGUCAGGGAGAGGAGAGAUGCCGAAGAAGGGAGAGCCGCGCCGCUCGCCGGCGGCGACGGCGCCGUUGAACGGCAGCGGCGGCGGACAGAUCGUCCGAGAGAGAGAGAGAGAAGAGAGGAGUGUGCAGCUGCUGCUGCGUUUGUGUGUAUGAGAUUGUGUCGUGUGUGCGUGUGAUUUGGGGAGAAGAAGGGAAGGGUGUUGGGCUAGGGCUUGAGGGUUGGGCUUUGAGUCUUGGGCUUUGGGUUGGGCCGAUUUUCCUUGGUUUUAAAGCUUCAGUUGGGCCUAGUUUGAUUUAAUUGUCAAUGGGCUCAGGCUUUAUGACCAAGUGGGUUAGCGCUGCUUUCCCAAGACAAGUUUAUAUGUGUAUGAUCUUCAGGCUUUGCCUAUCCAGGUUGAUCGGUUGGUGCAGACGGAGCUGAGGCUAGGGUUCCACGCUGUCUUUUGCUUCCGCUUAAUGACUAGCUUGCUAUCUUGUCUUUCAAUCUCCUAAACUAAGAACUUCUAUUAUAUGGUAAAAUAUUAUCUCGUUGAGCUUAGACCCUUAAUUCGUAUUCCAAUUAAUGAGGCCAUCGUUGAUUAUGAUCAGAGUCACGAAACUAAACUUUUGCGCUCCUGGAAAGUUGAAUGUUGUUAAUCGAUUAUGUCACUCAAUGCCCAUUCAUUUAUUCUAUUUUAUCUUUAUUUUAUUAAUCUCUUCAAAACACAGAUACCUAAUCUUUUGAGUAAAUCUUCACAAUUGAUCUAUUCAUAUCACAUUAUUUUCUUAUUUCUUUUGUUUGGGAAGUUGGGUCGUUACAAGUGGUAUCAGAGCACAAGUUUUCUUUCGUGUCUCUGACUACCGCUAGUUGAAUUAUUCCGAGUCUAGAAUAGUACCUCUAGACUUCUAAGCAUUGUUGCAACCCUCAGCUCACCGUCUCACUGCCUGAUCAACAAAGGUACGAUUUAAAAUUUUCAAAUAAAUGAUUUAAUUUGAAGAAGUGCGCGCAAAAGAUUAUCUUGUGAAAUGCUUUAAUGAUGUCACAUAUGAAAAGAGAUAUUGCUUAUACAAGAAAGAAGAGUAUGAUAUUUGGGCCAGCGAGUCCUUAAAAGAAGCAAAGUUUGUAAUCAUGAUGGGACUCUUCGAGCCUACAUGAUCUAUUUUCAGAAGAAGUAUAUUAUGAUGAGUCUCUUUGAGCUCACAUAAGCAUGUUGAAAGAGAAAAGAUUUGUUGUUUAUGAUUGAUUCUAUGAAUCAUUUAUGAUUAAAGAUAUGUUAUGAUUUUUUUUACUUCGUGCAUGUUAAGAAAUAUUUCAGAUGACAUAAAUGACAUUAUUUGUCAACUUAGGUUAUUAUGACCUUUUUGACUUGACAGUUAUGAGUAGGUUGACUCAGUCAACUAAAGAUAUGAGCUUAUAAGAGUAUGAUUUACCUCAUCGUUAGAGGUGCAUUAGCUAAUGCUAUGAUAGGAUUUCGAUCCAUACGAACUAGACUUUUGUCUAGAGAACUUUAGAUUGAUGAGGUAUAGAACCUUGAAGAACAUAGAAUGCUCUCAGAAUACCUAUGAUGCCUAUAGAACAGAGAAACUUAGCUAGAUUUAGCCUUGCGCUAUUUCGGUUUGAAUGAUAUUGAUCAUUCUUUAUAGAUGGACAAAACAGGUGAGAAAUUCCGCAAGCAUUGGACCCCAAUGUACUUGCAAGAAUAGUAUGAAGAGAAGCUCCAUAGCUAAAUCAGGAAGCUAUAGAAUUUUCUGAGAGAUUUCGUAGUAGAAUCACGGCACACAGGAUGAAUGCAUGCAAGGGAAGAAUAUUAGACAUCAAAUCAUCAAUAAGAUUCGUGCAACACCUUUCUCUAAUGAAUGGAAAACAGGGACAACCAACACAUGUGCAAGAUUAGUUCGACGAUUUUCCGCAGCUGACCAAGAGCACCGAGCCAAGGCCAUUGACAUAGGAAGAAGGUCCUAAGAACAAUAUUGAGGAAGCUAUCAUAAGAGAUUCAUGAGAGAGCAAUUGCCUGCAUACAUUAUUAGUUUAGUAGUGGCGACAAUUGUUUAGAAUAACCUUACUUUUGAUAAGAACACCUCACUUUUUGACUGUAAGGUCGAACUCAUCCACAUCCUACCUAUACCUUGCUUAGACACCCCAAUUCAUUUAAUAAAUUCUCGUACUACCUAAACACUUGGAGUACUCUAUUAUAUUCAUUAUACUGAAAGUUCUCUUUUGAGGUAUAUGAUACAUAAGUGUUUUGAUCAUUGCUUUAACACAUGUUAUUCAAACUUUUCUUCCCGUAACACGCCUAGUUAUUAUGGUUAGUUUACAUCUGAAGUUAUUCAAUCGUAUUAACCAAAAGAACCUCUUUGAGAGGCACUAUUAUUUUGAAUAUUAUGAAAGUCCUCUCUUGAGGCAUAUAUAUCAGUAAUUUAUUCAUACUUUAUGCGUGUUGUUCACAUUUUCUUUGGUGUAGCACGCAUAGUCUCAAGAUUGAUUCACAUAUGAUUGUUAAGCCCUAUUAACCAAUUGAACCUUUAAACCACAUCAUGGAUACAACAAUAAGAAGACGUGGACGACGACGAGUAAUUGUCCCUGAUGAGCCUGCACCACAAGUAGCAUCAGACAGUUUAGGUGAUCCUGUGGAUGCCGAGAAAUAAAUCAAAACAUGGGAGAAUUUCACCGAGGAUGACUUUAAGGCAGAGUUAUAUGAGAAAUAUAUACUAGAAUGUUACCGACAGAGUAACAGAUGAGUUCUGGAACUUGGGUCAGAGGGUUGGAACGGCGACUGAGUAUGACAGGACUUUCAACCAACUGCUACAAUAUGCUCCACUCCUAUUGGAUACUGACGAGAAAUGCGCGGAAAAGUUCAGGAACGAAUUGCGUCAUGAGAUAUCGAUUUCCUUAGCAAGUUAGGGAGGUCUCACUUAUGCACAAACACUGAGCAGAGCUCACAAUUGAGUCAUUGCUACUAAGCUAAUGAGGAAAGAAGAAUGUUAGAUUUUCUUAGUCAAUUUGACUGGAAAACCAAAAUAAAAGAAAAGCGACUGAAGAAGGUCCAGUUGUUCAAAAUUUCAAGGAUAUUUUUCUCGAAGAAUUGCCCGGUUUGCCACCAGACCGACAACUAAAAUUCACAAUUGGAGCAGCUCCAGUGUCGAAGGCGCCGUAUAGAAUGGCCCCACCAGAGCAACAGGAAUUGAAAGUGCAACUACAAGAAUUGUUGGACUUAGGUUUCAUACAGCCUAGCGUAUCACCGUGGGGAGCACCGGUCCUAUUCAUCAAGAAGAAAGAUAGUUCGUUAAGAAUGUGUAUCGAUUAUAGGGAACUAGACAUGCUCACGAUAAAGAAUAGAUAUCCCCUUCCGAGGAUAAACGACCUGUUUGAUCAGCUGAGGAGAAUCGGUGUCUUUUCCAAGAUUGACCUAAGGCCUGGUUACCAUCAGCUCAAGACGAAAAUGGAAGACAUUCCAAAGACAACAUUUCGAACGCGUUACGGAUAUUACAAGCUCACGAUGAUGACUUUUGGAUUAAUGAAUGCCCUAGAUGUUUUAAUGGAUAUGAUGAAUAGAGGGUUCCAUCAGUAUCUCGAUAGUUUCGUCUUAGUGUUAAUUGAGGACUUUCUCAUAUACUUUAAGACUGAAGAACAACACGAAGAACACUUGCGCAUCGUACUCAAAACUUUGCGGAACGAGAGACUAUUCGCCAAAUUUAGCAAGUGUAAGUUUUGAUUGAGAGAAAUGAUGUUCUCGGUCAAGUUGUGCCGAUUGAAGGAAUCAAAGUGGACCCUGCCAAGGUUGAAGCAGUCAAGGAAUGGAAGGCACCAUCAAACGUCAGCGAGAUCAAAAGUUCCCUCGGUCUAGCGAAAAACUAUAAAAGAUUUAUCGAAGGAUUCUCGAAAUUGGCUAGGCCAAUGACUCAACUUUUGAGAAAAUGGACUAAGUAUGUUUGGUCUGAAGCUUGUGAACAAAGUUUUAAGGAACUCAAGACGAGGCUAACUACUGCACCAGUGUUAGCAAUACCAGAAGAAAAUAAAGGAUUCGUGGUGUACACUGAUGCCUCGAAACUAGAAUUGGAUUACGUAUUGAUGCAAAAUUAGAAAGUGAUAGCAUACGCGUCUCGUCAAUUGAAGCCCCAUGAGCUGAACUAGCCAACUCAUGACUUAGAGCUUGCUACUGUCGUGCACGCGCUGAAAAUUUGGAGACACUACCUCUAUGGAGUUAAGUGUGAGAUAUUUACGGAUCAUAAGAAUUGGAAGUACUUCUUCAAGCAAAAGGAUUUGAACGUGAGACAACGAAGAUGGCUGGAAUUAGUAAAUGAUUUCGACUGCACCAUCAAUUACCAUCCUGGAAAAGCAAAUGUGGUGGCAGGCGCCCUGAGUUGAAAGACCAUAGAAAAACUUGGAUGUCUUAUUACUCAACAGGAGAAGUUAAUACGUGAUUUGGCUGCACUUAAUUUGGAAAUAGUACACACCCUCAAACACCAUAUUAAGCUCCAUAGCUGCCCUGGAAAUUAUCCCAGAUCUGCGAGCCAGAAUCAUCGAGGCCCAAAGAAAAGUUUGGUUUUGGAAAAAUAUGCGACUCGCAGCCAGAUCAAGCGAACCCAAAGGAUUCACAAAAGAUAAGGAUAACGCCUUGAAAUUUGAAAACAGACUAUGUGUGCCACACAACGAAGGGCUGAAGAAUGAGAUUAUGAGUGAAGCACACGACACGCCAUACGCAGCCUACCCGGGGAGCACGAAGAUGUAUCAAGACUUGAAGAAAAUGUUCUGGUGAAAAGGAAUGAAGGGAGAUAUAGCAUUGUUCGUAGAACGGUGCCUUGCAUGCCAACAAGUCAAAGCACUACGUCAGAAACCAUAUGGGACAUUGCAACCAUAUGGGACAUUGCAACCGCUACCAAUCCCCGAAUGGAAGUGAGAGCAUAUCAAUAUGGAUUUUGUGGUAAGCUUACCACGAUCAGCGUGUGGAAACACUGCCAUUUGGGUAAUUGUAGAUCGCCUGUUGAAGUCAGCGCACUUCCUUCCCAUACAAAUGACCUUUGGGAUGGAAAAGCUUGCAAAGUUAUAUGUAAAAGAAAUUAUGCGCCUUCACGGUGUACCAGUAUCAAUUACAUCUGAUCGUGACUCCUGAUACACAUUAAGAUUCUGGAAAAGUUUACAGGAGGCAAUGGGCACCAAGUUAAACUUCAACACAGCAUACCACCCCAAACAGACGGCCAAUCGGAGCGAACAAUUCAAAUAUUAGAAGACAUGCUUUGAGCAAUUGUUGCAUACAAAGGUGGAAAUUAGGAGGACUUUCUACCUCUCGUAGAAUUUGCCUACAACAACAGCUACCAGUCAACAAUUGAAAUGACCCCUAACGAGGCACUACAUGGGCGAAAAUGCAGAUCGCCACUUUACUGGGAUGAAGUAAGCGAACGAAGGCUGUUAGGACCAGAACUAGUUCAGCAGAUGAUCGAAAAAGUUGACCAGAUUAAACAGAAGAUCAAAGAAGCACAAGACAAACAAAAAUCAUAUACUGAUACACGAAGAACUGAACUAGAAUUCAAUGUUGGGAAUCGACUAUUGCCCUAAAAAAGGAGUUAUUCGUUUUGAAAGUAGAGGUAAAUUGUGACCCCGCUAUAUAGGACCUUUUGAGAUCCUAGAUAGAGUGGACAAUGUAGCUUAUAGGUUGACAUUGCCACCCAGCAUUGGGAACGUGCACAAUGUAUUUCACGUUUCGCAAUUACGAAAGUACGUGUAUGGUCCAAAACACUUAAUAAAGAAUGAUGAAGUAGUUAUAGCCCAAGACUUGAGCUAUAAAGAGAAACUCGUACAGAUACUUGAUCAAAAGAUUCAAGUUUUAAGAAACAAGCAAAUUCCCUUGGUUAAAGUGCUUUGACAACACCAUGGGGUAGAAAAAGCAACAUGAACAGGAAGAGAAGAAGAAACCUCAAUACCCCGAAUUAGACUACCAAGGUCUGUAAAUUUCGAGGACGAAAUUUUUUUAAGGGGAGAGGUAUGUGAUACCCCGACCUUUCCAUAAGGAAUAUAAAAGACCUUUAAUUAGUAUACUAGUGAUACACGCCCGAUUUUUAAUAAGUCAUAUUAUUUCAACGAGAUUUUUUUUAAGUUCAUUACUAUUAAUUUUUAUCAAUCAAAGGUCUUGAGCCCAAUACUAAAAUACAUGAGAAAGGUUCUUACUAGUUUUUUUUUUAUUAUUAUUUAUAUUUGUUUAUUUAUUUAUUUGUUUUGAUGGACCUCAAGCCCAAAUCUAUAUUUAUGAGAAUAAUUUUUAUGGGCUUCCAACCCAAGAAUUUUGAGAUCAGUAGUGACCCAAAAUUAAGAUGGCAGUGUGAGAAGCUGAGUCGAGAGAAUUGAAACAUUUUCCUUUUUCUCCAAGAAUUCUACAGUGUUGAUAUUUUUUCUUUGGCAAAGAAUCAGCUUUGGUUUUCCUUCAGCCACGUAAACCAUAUUGUGCCUUAAAUCAUAUUUGCCUCACACAUUCCUUCUCACCAUUCUCUCCACUUCUUGCAAUAAUCUAUCUUUACUUCUGAAUUUUUUUUUAUCCUCCGGUGAGUGAGAAUCGGGGAAUCGAGGAGAGGGAGGAACGAGGGCUGUCCGAGCUCGACGCGGGCUGUCAAGACCGCGGCUGUCGGCGCUGCUUGCGUGGCAGCAGCCCGUCGGCCACUCGCGGCGAAGGCAGACAGAGUCGGAGCAAGGCGGCGAAGUCCCGGGUGGCUGAACGAGGUGGCGCGGCCGGAGGCCAGGCGCCACUAACGCGGCCGAGAACGGAGCAGCAGCAGCAGUGAUGGCGGCGCUCCUUCCUUGGCCAUCUGCUGUCGGGUACGCAAGAAAGAGAGAGAGGGGCAGAUGGGAGGUGGUGAGCGAGAGGGUAUGGUGAGAGAGGGAAGGCGUUGGGUGAGGGAGGCGUCGGAGCCGGCGAUUCUCGCCGGGGUUGGAGCAGGCGGCGGAUCUGUGGAGGGAGAAGAGGCGUGAGAUGGAAAGAGAGAGAGAGAGAGGGUGAUGGCAGAGGCGGAUUCCGGUGGUGUUUUCCCUGGGCGGCGGCGGCAGUACUGGAAGGGGAGGCGGCUCGGCGCACCUCUGUCGAUACAGGGACGGCGGGGUGGCGUUGCGGCCUGGCAGCUGCUGUCUGUCGAAGCCAGUGAGGGCUGAGAAGAGAGGGAAGUCGGGGGGGGAAGAUAAGAGGAAAGGCGACGGUGGCCGGCUCUUCGCCGCUGCUACCGUCGACUGUGGAGUCGAGAGAAAUGGGGGUCAGGGAGAGGAGAGAUGCCGAAGAAGGGAGAGCCGCGCCGCUCGCCGGCGGCGACGGCGCCGUUGAACGGCAGCGGCGGCGGACAGAUCGUCCGAGAGAGAGAGAGAGAAGAGAGGAGUGUGCAGCUGCUGCUGCGUUUGUGUGUAUGAGAUUGUGUCGUGUGUGCGUGUGAUUUGGGGAGAAGAAGGGAAGGGUGUUGGGCUAGGGCUUGAGGGUUGGGCUUUGAGUCUUGGGCUUUGGGUUGGGCCGAUUUUCCUUGGUUUUAAAGCUUCAGUUGGGCCUAGUUUGAUUUAAUUGUCAAUGGGCUCAGGCUUUAUGACCAAGUGGGUUAGCGCUGCUUUCCCAAGACAAGUUUAUAUGUGUAUGAUCUUCAGGCUUUGCCUAUCCAGGUUGAUCGGUUGGUGCAGACGGAGCUGAGGCUAGGGUUCCACGCUGUCUUUUGCUUCCGCUUAAUGACUAGCUUGCUAUCUUGUCUUUCAAUCUCCUAAACUAAGAACUUCUAUUAUAUGGUAAAAUAUUAUCUCGUUGAGCUUAGACCCUUAAUUCGUAUUCCAAUUAAUGAGGCCAUCGUUGAUUAUGAUCAGAGUCACGAAACUAAACUUUUGCGCUCCUGGAAAGUUGAAUGUUGUUAAUCGAUUAUGUCACUCAAUGCCCAUUCAUUUAUUCUAUUUUAUCUUUAUUUUA